CGUCGACAGGAUAUGAAAUACAUUCAUACAAAAUUGGCAAGCUGUGUCAGUGCGUAGGAAUGUAGUCGUCGCAUCGUCCAAAGUCGUGGAAAGGAUGAUAUUAAGAUUAAUCCUCGUCAUGGCAGAGAGUGCGUUCAGGGUGAGCUCUUUGCAGGAA